rnacentral:rRNA from 1 species
AUCGUUAUCGUUUAUUUGAUAGUACCUUACUACAUGGAUAACCGUGGUAAUUCUAGAGCUAAUACAUGCUAAAAACCUCGACUUCGGAAGGGGUGUAUUUAUUAGAUAAAAAACCAAUGCCCUUCGGGGCUCCUUGGUGAAUCAUAAUAACUUAACGAAUCGCAUGGCCUUGCGCCGGCGAUGGUUCAUUCAAAUUUCUGCCCUAUCAACUUUCGAUGGUAGGAUAGUGGCCUACCAUGGUAUCAACGGGUAACGGGGAAUUAGGGUUCGACUCCGGAGAGGGAGCCUGAGAAACGGCUACCACAUCCAAGGAAGGCAGCAGGCGCGCAAAUUACCCAAUCCCGACACGGGGAGGUAGUGACAAUAAAUACUGAUACAGGGCUCUUUUGGGUCUUGUAAUUGGAAUGAGUACAAUUUAAAUCCCUUAACGAGGAACAAUUGGAGGGCAAGUCUGGUGCCAGCAGCCGCGGUAAUUCCAGCUCCAAUAGCGUAUAUUAAAGUUGUUGCAGUUAAAAAGCUCGUAGUUGAACCUUGGGCCUGGCUGGCCGGUCCGCCUCACCGCGUGUACUGGUCCGGCCGGGCCUUUCCUUCUGGGGAACCUCAUGCCCUUCACUGGGCGUGUUGGGGAACCAGGACUUUUACUUUGAAAAAAUUAGAGUGUUCAAAGCAGGCCUUUGCUCGAAUACAUUAGCAUGGAAUAAUAGAAUAGGACGUGUGGUUCUAUUUUGUUGGUUUCUAGGACCGCCGUAAUGAUUAAUAGGGAUAGUCGGGGGCAUCAGUAUUCAAUCGUCAGAGGUGAAAUUCUUGGAUUGAUUGAAGACUAACUACUGCGAAAGCAUUUGCCAAGGAUGUUUUCAUUAA